ACUUGUAGCCUAGCGAACUGCUCCGUAACGCGUAGAUAAUCUACCCUUAGGUAAAGCAUAACCCCGGGAAACUGGGUAUAAUUCUUUAUAGGUGCUUUGUACUGGAAUGGCUAAGCAUUAAAAGCUUCGGCGCCUAAGGAUGAGUCUGCGUCCGAUUAUGCUUGUUGGUGGUGUCAAGGACCACCAAGGCGACGAUUGGUACGGGCCAUGAGAGUGGUAGCCCGGAGAUGGUCACUGAGAUAACGGACCAGGCCCUAUGGGGUGCAGCAGGCGCGAAAACUGACCAAUGCGCGAAAGCGUGAGUCGGUCAAUCCGAGUGUAGACCCAUCGGUUUACUUUUGUCAUGUGUACAAAGCUUGGCGAAUAAUGUGAGGGCAAGACUGGUGCCAGCCGCCGCGGUAAAACCAGCUCAUAGAGUGGUGAUCAUGAUUAUUUGGCUUAAAGUGUGCGUAGCAGGGAAUUCUAAGUCCUCUGUGAAAUGUCAGGUCUUAAGCUUGACACGUGCAGAGGAUACUGGAAUCCUUGGGACUGGGAUAGGUGUACUGUACGGUUUGGGUAGGGGUGAAAUCCGAUAAUCCAAGCCGGACAACCGGUGGCGAAGGCGGUACACUGGAACAGGUCCGACUGUGAGGCACGAAAGCUAGGGUCGCGAGCCGGAUUAGAUACCCGGGUAGUCCUAUGCUGUAAACGAUGCUCAUUAAGUGUUAGGUAAUGCAAGACAUUCUCUAGUGCCGAAGCGAAAGCGUUAAAUGAGCCGCCUGGGAAGUACGUUCGCAAGAAUGAAACUUAAAGGAAUUGGCGGGGGCCUACUACAAGAAGUGGAGCCUGCGGUUUAAUUGGA
rnacentral:rRNA from 1 species